rnacentral:tRNA from 1 species
CGGAGUGUAGCGUAGUUGGUAGCGCAUCUGAUUUGGGAUCAGAAGAUCAUAGGUUCAAGUCCUAUCUCUCCGA